rnacentral:rRNA from 1 species
GACGGGUGUUACUCCUUCUACGAAGCUGAAAAGAACCUCGGGGGGAGAGUUCAAGAGUAUGGAAGUCGUCUAGGGGUACACGGAAAAGAACCUAAAGUUCGAAAGGAAAGAUUCCUGUCUCUCUGUAGUUGGUCCCACCGCACAAAGAUGGGAUUGAUGUGAGCAAAUAUGUUCAUUAAGCUUCCCAAUUUUGAACAAUGUUGUCUACAAUAACAGGAGAGUACAUUUGUUUUCCCAUAGGACGUCGCGACAAGUGGUCUGGUUCGUUAAGGGUCAGGGUGGCAGAAUUGAGGCACCUGUUUCUUGAGACCCUUGAAUUCCCUAAAGAUCAGACGACGGUAUGUCAUGAUGGUGGUGGACCGCCUCUAGGUGGGAGUGCAGACAUGCAGCAAAUGAUCAAAAGUGGAGGUUGCACCCUCUAUGGUUCGGCCAUCUCCCCCCUUCACCUACCAGCAUGUUCUUGCACCGUUCCAUACUCCAGUCGGCGCCGAGUAACCUUUGCAAUUUUACCCCCCCCCA